ensembl:snRNA U5 U5 spliceosomal RNA
ACAGUCUGGUUUCUCUUCAGAUCGUAUAAAUCUUUCGCCUUUUACUAAAUAUGUCUGUGGAGAGGAACAGUUAUGAAUUUACAGCUAAUUCUUUGAAGCCCCAUGCUACUUCCUUGGUGUU